GAGAGGCAUGCUUGCGUCCUCAUACCACAAAAUAUGUCAAAAUGGUACACUGAUGGCAGUAGCUGCUUGAAAAAAAGUCUUUUGUAGGGUUGUAGCACUGUCAUGCCAUGAUUUAUGCGUGUUAAUAGCAAUGCCAGAGCCAGUGAGGCCUCACUUGUCUCCGUUGCUCACUGGAUGAGGAGGGAGUAAAUAGCAGUUCAAAGCGAUGGUGGAGCUUGGCAGAACCGAGUUCCCCGUCUUCUUCUUGCUAGCAGCUGAGGGAAGAACAGCAGGGGAAUAAGCCUGGUCCGCGUUGGAGAACACAAGCAUGGAGGAAGACACAACAGAGAUACGUACUAUAGAUUUCAUGGGAUUGGGUGCUGCAUCUAUCAACGCUGCUAUCCCAAUGCCUGCACUUGUGCCUGUUGUUGAUGUUGAGAAUAUCAACUGUGAUGCAGAGUUGGUACUAGCACCAAACAGGCCUACUGAACCUGAUAUUCCUGAAUUUGUUCUUCACCCUAGUGUUGGUAGAAUCCCUAAAACAGGUCACAGUGUUCUAAAAAGUUCAUUUGCACCUAAGGAUAUUGCUAUAGCACUAGCAAAGUGGGGUGAGAGUCCAAAAAAACAUAUCAUAGAGAUGGGCCUGGGUGGGUUGCUACAUGUAGAUCAUUUUACUCACUUUAGCAGGAACCAUUCUCUUUUCUAUCUGCAAUCUAUAGACACUAGGAGGAAAAGGCUUGUUCUAGGGAAAAAAUUGCUCAGAUCAGUGAGAGAUCGAUGUCUGCCAUAUUAGGUACAAGAGAAGGUGGUGAUGUAGAGAUUCAGAGACUCAGAGAAGGUCCUACGAUGAAAGAAAUAUUUAUGGUCAGAAAAAUGCUAGACCUUGAUCUAAACCAUCAAGAAGUGAAAACACCAGAUCUUUUGAAAGUUUUGUGUGAAGACCAUCCUGAGGAGUUCACCAAAACAAGGGAAUAAGGUUGAAACUUGCCUUCGCAAUGUUAGUUCUGUCAGUUUUCUACAGCCCCAGAGACAAGAGAGGAUAUGUCCCAAAGGAUGCAUAUCUUCUGGCAUAUGCUCUUGAAAAUCUGGACAAGUUAAACCGGACCAAUUACGGAGUUGUUGAGCUUCUUGAUGCUCCUGCUAGAGUUCAGCAGUAUGUCAAUGCAAACCCAGGGCCUGGAAUCACUAUCUUUGGUUGCCACUACUAUCUUCAGGUAUUAGUUUACAUUUCUUUGGUUGUGUUGUUGCUAGUUCGGUCUGCAUUUUACUCACAUAAGCCAUUGUGUUGAUUUUUAUAGGUGUUGUAUUUUGAUUCUGUGGAUGCUGGAGAUCAGAAUGUCGAUCCUACUGUUUGUCCUAGGAUAUGUGUCUACAAUGCUCCAAAACUUUUUGCUCUUCUUGAGAGGGACACCAUGAAUUGUAUAUAAAUGAGGGUUUACUGCAUGCUGAGAGUGAGUGAUAUAAACCUGGUCUAAUAAUAGUAUUGCUGUAAGUCAGAGGAAAUGCUAAAAUUUAAAUUUGUCCAGCCUGAUGUGAAGGAACAGGCGGCCAAUCUAAAGAGGCAGAAGCGAACGGCAAGCGGGUCACAGCUUAGAACCGUUCUCAAUGAGCAGGCUGCUGUCAUUCUAACUCAUGUAGAUGAAGUAAUGGUAGCGCUUCCAGAAAACAAUGUUGCAUCCAAAAAUGCGGGGAGGUGCAUGCCUGAACAAUUUGGGGAAUGUAGCGGUGGAUUUCAUGGCUCAAUAUUUGGUGACAUGCCAAAAACAAGACUUUCUGGGAUGGAAAGCCUAGAGGAGAUUAAGAAUAUAGUUAAUCAAGCGAAGGUUUGGCUCCAAAACGCUAUUGCAAGUAUGGAGCUAAAUUGUAAGCUAGCUGAUGACAAGUUCUUAGAAUAAGUAAAGAGGAGGACAGCCAUGUUUGAUGGUUCAGUAAACGCAAUGGUAGCAAACCAUAGAGGAAUUCAGAAGAUAACAAAACUUCUUACCUUGCAAUACUUACACAACCACCUCGUUGAUCAUGGUGUUGGAAAGCACAUGCCAGGCUUAGAAAAACACCUAAACAUGAUAAAUGUCCUACUUUCAGGUUUGCAUCAUUGAUACGUCUCCAACGUAUCUAUAAUUUUUGAUUGUUCAAUGCUAUUAUAUUAUCUGUUUUGGAUGUUUAAUGGGCUUUAAUAUGCACUUUUAUAUUAUUUUUGG